GUCCAAUAUGUACCAGUAAGAAUAGUUCUUCCAAUAUAAUCUAAAGAACCAAACCUAAUGUUGCUACCAAGUUUGUGACAGCAGCCAGUGGGUUAACUGUUGAAUUACUGUCUGGUUUCUUCUUGUUAUGAGUAGUAACACUAAGUCGUUUCGCUUUUGCAGUAUUUCUCUUCAUUUCAAAAUCAUGUUUCCUCUUUGUCAACGUGAAAAUUGACUUGAUUUUGUUCACAGCUUUCUCCAUACUGAGCAGGCU